rnacentral:lncRNA from 1 species
GCUGGACAUGUAGAUCACAAAACCUUAACAUACACAUUGCGCUAGGCACACAUCAUUAUAAUUACAGGAUCUGAACAUCAAUGACCUUGCGCUCCACAUGGGUCUUAGGAAUUGAAAUGUAAAGAACACCAUUCUUCAGCUCUGCAUCUCAAUUUAUUUAUACACUUACAAAGCUGGACAUGUAGAUCACAAAACCUCAACAUACACAUUUCGCUAGGCACUCAUUAUUAUAAUUACAGAAUCUGAACAUCAAUGACCUUGCGCUCCACCUUUGUCUUAGGAAUUGAAAUGUAAAGAACACCAUUCUUGAGCUCUGCCUUGACCUUAUCUUUCUCACAGUUAUCAGGAAGCUGGAGACGAGUAUCGUAAGAGCUAAAACUUGCACCUCCAGCUUCUUCUGCCCUGUGCUCUCCUUUAAUGACAAGGACUUCAUCUUCCACCGACACUUUGACAUCCUCCUUAGAGAGUCCAGGCAUGUCAAAUCUCAUUUUGAUCUCAUUUUCCUCCUCUUUGAUGUCCCACGGUGUUCUCACCUGGCCUCCCCCGCCAGCCCGGCUCCUCCCCGGAAAAGCCAUCGUAUCCUCUAAUAGACGGUCCAUUGUGUCCAGCAUCUGCCGCAUUGUCCUCGUUGGAAACGAGGGAUCCAUCAAACCUGCAACCCAAAGUCGUACAUUUUUUAGAAUUGGGUAAUUAAAUCGGUGUUCAAUUUACUUCCAAACCUUAUGAUUUAACAUAAUCAGUAUUUUAUUAACUAUAAAAUCAUGCAAAGGCAACUGCUCAAUACCCCUAGCAGCCGCAACGCAAACUAACAUAGUCUAACAGAGCAUGUAAAACUUGUAUUAUUUAAAUCACUGAAUCCUACAGGCAACGGACGAAGGCAAAGACAAAUUUAAUUCGCUGAACUUACCGAAAGGUGAAAUAUCGAGAGCCGUUCUUCGAGGCCUCCUCUCCACUUGGGUUCCUUGGUUACCGGAAUUAACAUGGACGUCAACCGAAGUAUCCUUGUUCUCCCCACCAGCCUGAGCUCUCACGGCUUGUAGCCGAUAGGCGCCUUUCCUUGACGUUGCCGGUAAGGUUACCGAGCAUGGCGCCACAUUUCUCCUAGCUAUUGAG